rnacentral:rRNA from 2 species
UUUAAUGUUUGAUGUUCUAACGUGGAUCCGUAAUCCGGGUUGCGGACAGUGUCUGGUGGGUAGUUUGACUGGGGCGGUCUCCUCCUAAAGAGUAACGGAGGAGCACGAAGGUUGGCUAAUCCUGGUCGGACAUCAGGAGGUUAGUGCAAUGGCAUAAGCCAGCUUGACUGCGAGCGUGACGGCGCGAGCAGGUGCGAAAGCAGGUCAUAGUGAUCCGGUGGUUCUGAAUGGAAGGGCCAUCGCUCAACGGAUAAAAGGUACUCCGGGGAUAACAGGCUGAUACCGCCCAAGAGUUCAUAUCGACGGCGGUGUUUGGCACCUCGAUGUCGGCUCAUCACAUCCUGGGGCUGAAGUAGGUCCCAAGGGUAUGGCUGUUCGCCAUUUAAAGUGGUACGCGAGCUGGGUUUAGAACGUCGUGAGACAGUUCGGUCCCUAUCUGCCGUGGGCGCUGGAGAACUGAGGGGGGCUGCUCCUAGUACGAGAGGACCGGAGUGGACGCAUCACUGGUGUUCGGGUUGUCAUGCCAAUGGCACUGCCCGGUAGCUAAAUGCGGAAGAGAUAAGUGCUGAAAGCAUCUAAGCACGAAACUUGCCCCGAGAUGAGUUCUCCCUGAGACUUAGAGUCUCCUGAAGGAACGUUGAAGACGACGACGUUGAUAGGCCGGGUGUGUAAGCGCAGCGAUGCGUUGAGCUAACCGGUACUAAUGAACCGUGAGGCUUAACCUUACAACGCCGAAG